rnacentral:lncRNA from 1 species
GCCAGGGAUGGAGAUGGAUGAGCACCCGGAUAUCCUGCCCACCCAGGGGCAAGGCAACAUCAUCAUUACUAAGUAUGAGCAGGGACGCUGAGCUGGGGCAGCAGUGGACACAGAGCAUGAGCGUGUUGACAUCUGGAAAUUCACCAGUCGUCUCUGGGUUGUGUGUGAGACAGAGCUGCCCGUGUCAGUGCCCUGGAGGUGAAGGGAAGAGCCUGUGCCUGCUGCGUGGGAGACUGGUCCAGGGACAGGGAAUCAGGAGUGGUUGGUGAGACAGAGGGGGUGGCCUGCGGGCCCGGGCGGUGGUAAGUGGGCCAGGGCUGUCCCUGGGAGGGGCGGCCUUUCCUGACGGACUCUGUUCCCAUGAGCAUUUGACCAAAACCCAAAUCAAGAACCACAGUCUUGGCUCAGAGGUCACUGCCUGUUUGUACCAAGUCCCCAGCUAAGGGCCAGGACCUGACCAAAACUCGGGGUGUCUGUGGCCUGAGGAUGGUGUGUCCUGGCAUGACCAGUCCAGACCACCAGCUCCAGUUAGUUCAGAGGGUCUCAGCCCCCGGGCUCUGCUCUUUCCUUGCUCCUUCAGGGCCCCAAAGCCCAGGACCCAGCAUCCAUGGGCCGCUGCCGGAGGCCUGGCAGCUCCGCUAACUCCAUCAUGGCUCAUUUGACAGCAAAGGUGUCAGGAAAUAAAAUGUACUGACAAGUGGCUGAAGAUGCUUGGAGACUGGCCAAAAUAUAAGAACAGCAAGAAGGUGACAUGGCGGUUGGGCCUGGUAGCUCAGGCCUGUAACCCCAGCACUUCGGGAGGCUGAGGUGGGCGGAUCACCUGAGGUCAGGAGUUCGAGACCAUCCUGGCCAACAUGGCGAAACCCCGUCUCUACUAAACAUGCAAAAAUUAGCUGGGCACGGUGGCGGGCACCUGUAAUCCCAGCUACUCAGGAGGCUGAGGCACGAGAAUUGCUUGAACCCAGGCAGUGGAGGUUGCAGUGAGCCAAGAUCGCACCACUGAACUCCAGCCUGGGCGACAAGAGGGAGACUUCAUCUCAAAAGGAAAAGAAGCUGUCUCGAAGCAGGUACAAAGGCAUUCCCCUGGUGUGA